rnacentral:misc_RNA from 1 species
GCCAAAUACUGUAGCCUUUGAGCAUGAAUAGGUAUUUCAUUUGCUAUAUCAUGAUGGAUGAUGGGGAAAAAUGGAGGCCAGUUUUUAUUAUCUGCAGGGACACCAGCUUUCGCAACAGCAUCUUCUCUCCUUUUGAUUUCCUUUUCCCUCCUUUUAAGAUCUGCUUCCCAAGCCACAAGCUCUUUCUCCUUCUUCUUUGGAUCAUUCAUUGUAUCAAGUGGAAUGUCCACCGUUGCAUCAUUGUGCCCAAAUCCAGUAGGUUCAGGUCCCAAAGGAGGUAUACGUGUCUUUGAUACAGAAGCAGUGGCACCAUUCGAGAAGGGAUUGACCUCUUCUUCAUCGAAUGGAUUAGGAUCGUGAUGGUACCGACUCAUGCUCUCUGCUUUUUCUUCAGAUCCCUAAAUUUUGCACCAAAACUUGCCUAAUUGUAUGCAAAAGUUGAGAGAGAGUUCAGGGAGAGAGUGUGCUCG